rnacentral:rRNA from 1 species
AUUGAACGCUGGCGGCACGCUUAACACAUGCAAGUCGGACGGCAGCACGAGAGGGGUAACCCUCUGGGUGGCGCGUGGCGGACGGGUGAGUCACGCGUAGGGCCUUCCCUAUUAACGGGGGAUACUCCGUGGAAACGCGGCGUAUUCCCGCAUACGCUCUGAGGCGGAAAGGUUGGGAGCUGAAAACGGCCCAAUUGCUACUAGAUGAACCUGCGUUGGAUUAGCUAGUUGUUAGGGUAAAGGCCUACCAAGGCGAUGAUCUGUAGCUGGCCUGAGAGGAUGACCGGCCACACUGGAACUGAGAUACGGACCAGACUCCUACGGGAGGCAGCAGUGGGGAAUAUUGGACAAUGGGGGAAAGCCUGAUGGAGCGAUGCCGCGUGUGUGAAGAAGGCCUGAGGGUUGUAAAGCACUUUAGUUGGUGAAGAAAGGGGAUGCGUUAAAAGCGCGAUCAAGUGACGGUAGCCAAAGAGAAAGCACCGGCAAACUACGUG